CAUGUUCCAGAAGAUUGUGGAUGAAUCUAAGAACUAUGAAGAUAAGAAGAGCUGGGUUGAGUACUUGUCCCUAGAGACCACACGAAAGGAGAUCGUCAUGGCCAUGAUGAUGACUGCAUGUGACCUGUCUGCUAUCACCAAGCCCUGGGAAGUCCAGAGCAAGGUUGCUCUUCUGGUGGCUGCUGAGUUCUGGGAACAGGGGGACCUGGAGAGGACUGUCCUGGACCAACAGCCCAUUCCCAUGAUGGACCGGAACAAAGCAGCUGAGCUCCCCAAGCUACAAGUUGGCUUCAUCGACUUCGUAUGUACUUUCGUGUACAAGCGGGCACAGAAAUUUGCAAUGGUGGUCCAGCACCCAAGUCCUCGACCUGCUGUAUUCUAUAAGCUCUAUCUCAUGGCUUUGUGUCCCUCCUGCCACUCACCCACUGGGUAUGGACUCUGCCUAUAGCAGUUUGGUGUAAGAUAUUAGGAACAGGGGGGAGAAAAAGAUCAAACUUUGGAUGUUUUGAAACUUUAAAGGUGUUUUUACAAAUUAAAACCAACUAUGAAUAAGUU
rnacentral:lncRNA from 1 species